rnacentral:rRNA from 1 species
GAUGAACGCUGGCGGCGUGCCUAAUACAUGCAAGUCGAGCGAACGGACGAGAAGCUUGCUUCUCUGAUGUUAGCGGCGGACGGGUGAGUAACACGUGGAUAACCUACCUAUAAGACUGGGAUAACUUCGGGAAACCGGAGCUAAUACCGGAUAAUAUUUUGAACCGCAUGGUUCAAUAGUGAAAGACGGUCUUUCUGUCACUUAUAGAUGGAUCCGCGCUGCAUUAGCUAGUUGGUAAGGUAACGGCUUACCAAGGCAACGAUGCAUAGCCGACCUGAGAGGGUGAUCGGCCGCACUGGAACUGAGACACGGUCCAGACUCCUACGGGAGGCAGCAGUAGGGAAUCUUACGCAAUGGGCGAAAGCAUGGCGGAGCAACGCCGCGUGAGUGAUGAAGGUCUUCGGAUCGUAAAACUCUGUUAUUAGGGAAGAACAUAUGUGUAAGUAACUGUGCACAUCUUGACGGUACCUAAUCAGAAAGCCACGGCUAACUACGUG